GUCCACGCCGUAAACGAUGAUGACUAGCUGUCGGUGCGCUUAGCGUUCCGGUGGCGCAGCUAACGCGUUAAGUCAUCCGCCUGGGGAGUACGGCCGCAAGGUUAAAACUCAAAGAAAUUGACGGGGGGCCUGCACAAGCGGUGGAGCAUGUGGUUUAAUUCGAAAGCAACGCGCAGAACCUUACCAGCGUUUGACAUGGUAGGACGGUUUCCAGAGAUGGAUUCUUUCCCUUACGGGACCUACACACAGGUGCUGCAUGGCUGUCGU
rnacentral:rRNA from 1 species